rnacentral:rRNA from 1 species
GCUGGCGGCACGCCUAAUACAUGCAAGUCGAACGAAGUAGCAAUACUUAGUGGCAGACGGGUGAGUAAUAUGUAGGUAUCUUCCCAUUGGUGAGGAAUAACACGAGGAAACUUGUGCUAAUACCUCAUAAGUCUUCACGGAGAAAGCUUUAUGCGCCGAUGGAUGAGCCUGCACUUGAUUAGUUUGUUGGUAGGGUAAUGGCCUACCAAGACAAUGAUCAAUAGCUGAUUUGAGAGGAUGAUCAGCCACAUUGGGACUGAGACACGGCCCAAACUCCUACGGGAGGCAGCAGUAGGGAAUCUUGCACAAUGGGGGAAACCCUGAUGCAGCGAUGCCGCGUGAGUGAAGAAGGCCUUUGGGUUGUAAAGCUCUUUCGUCGGGGAAGAAAAUGACUGUACCCGAAUAAGAAGGUCCGGCUAACUUCGUGCCAGCAGCCGCGGUAAUACGAAGGGACCUAGCGUAGUUCGGAAUUACUGGGCUUAAAGAGUUCGUAGGUGGUUAAAAAAGUUGGUGGUGAAAUCCCAGAGCUUAACUCUGGAACUGCCAUCAAAACUUUUUAGCUAGAGUAUGAUAGAGGAAAGCAGAAUUUCUAGUGUAGAGGUGAAAUUCGUAGAUAUUAGAAAGAAUACCAAUUGCGAAGGCAGCUUUCUGGAUCAUUACUGACACUGAGGAACGAAAGCAUGGGUAGCGAAGAGGAUUAGAUACCCUCGUAGUCCAUGCCGUAAACGAUGUGUGUUAGACGUUGGAAAUUUAUUUUCUGUGUCGCAGCGAAAGCAAUAAACACACCGCCUGGGGAGUACGACC